rnacentral:rRNA from 1 species
CCUACGGGCGGCAGCAGUGAGGAAUAUUGGUCAAUGGACGAGAGUCUGAACCAGCCAAGUAGCGUGAAGGAUGACUGCCCUAUGGGUUGUAAACUUCUUUUAUAUGGGAAUAAAAAGUUCCAUGCGUGGGAUUUUGUAUGUACCAUAUGAAUAAGGAUCGGCUACCUCCGUGCCAGCAGCCGCGGUAAUAUGGAGGAUCCGAGCGUUAUCCGGAUUUAUUGGGUUUAAAGGGAGCGUAGGUGGAUUGUUAAGUCAGUUGUGAAAGUGUGCGGCUUAACCGUAAAAUUGCAGUUGACACUGGCAGUCUUGAGUACAGUAGAGGUGGGCGGAAUUCGUGGUGUAGCGGUGAAAUGCUUAGAUAUCACGAAGAACUCCGAUUGCGAAGGCAGUUCACUGGACUGCAACUGACACUGAGGCUCGAAAGUGUGGGGAUCAAACAGGAUUAGAUACCCUUGUAGUC